CAACAGGAACCUCAAAGAGCUUCAGUUAUUACAUUGGAAAGGAUUGUAUUGUAUAUUUUGUUAUGAACAUGUAAGCUCCAACUGUAGGAUGAAAAUUAACAGUGGAAUAUCCACCAUCACCACAAAAAUAAAGUCAGCACCACCAGAAGCCACCUCCUUGACUUCUGAGGACAAGAUUACUGAGGCCUCAGAAAGAGGCAUCAGCAAGGCUGCCACCUGGAUCUCUCACCAGUUCAGACAUUGGUAAAAACACCAGCAUUACAAGUUUUGGGAGUUCAAGCUGGUGAGCAACUCACUGCGACAGCUCUGCAACUAGCUGAGGAAGAAACGCUGUAAGCUGCUGGCACUCGGGGAAUGGCUGGAGAUGAGACACCUACCUCGAAAGGAGAGGACCCUGUGGUAUCAACAUCAAGGAUAUUGUCCCAAUGCUGAAGGAGAAACAACAAUAGCAGAAAGGCACGUUGUUAGUAAGGCAUAAUAGCAGACCCACAAAGACAAGAGCCAUUAGUGAAUUCCCAAUUCCUUCUUUACUCCAGGAUUUGAACGAUUGUAAAAUUUCUACAGAAUCUACACAAGUUACUGAACUCUUAAGACAUCAAUAGAAGGAAGAUCAAGCAUGAUGUUGGGAAGAACGUCAAGAGCUGACAUUGCAUGUGAUUAAGGAAUGUUGGUUUUGCAAGCUAUCUUCCUGUAUUAUAACUCCAUACUACUGAUGAAAUAUAAAGCAGAUACCUCUUUUACAGGUUGGGGGCUGUGCUUUCUCAGGAACAGUUAGCUUCAUGUCACAGACCAAUUUGUUACACAGUGUGAAAGUUUUCCAUGACUGAACCAAGGUAUGUAAUCACAGAGAACAAUGCACUCACAGUCAUGUGGGCUUACAGAAAAUUCUCAGAAUGUAUCAUCAGCUCAAAGGUUGACAGAGACAGAUUCCUUGAUGACAAGGAAUUUCAAGAAUGCAUCAGAGGAUCCUGGAUUCUGGUUGAGAUUUACUAAGCUUCACCUAUGAAAUUGUAAAUCUUCAGGGCAGGCUGCAAAUGCUAGCAGAUGCUUGUCCAGAGCCACCAUUGACCAUCCUAUAUAACAGGAUGUUAAAUUCAUUAAUAAGAUUGAGUCACAUUCUCAGGUCAUUGCAGCAUGAUAAGGCUCUGGCUGCAUCUAAUAUCUCAGUGAGCAUGCUUCUGCUCUCUGCUAUCAAUGUCUUUGUCUAAGUCUUCUGCGAUCAUAUUUGUCUGCUGUCUCAUCCCACUACCAAUCUGGAAAUGAAACAUGCUUUUAGUCUGGCCUGGUUGCAGCACAGCCAAGCCUGAUGAUUCUGAAUGUGCUGAUCCAAAUCUACAUGAGUCUCAAAAGUAAUUGUGAUUUCAGUAUCUGAGCUGGUGGCUGACACUGAGAACAUUAGAAAAGCUCUCAAUAGAAAAUGGCACUAGGCAUUACUAAGGAGCAGGUGGUGAAAGAAAGUCAGAAACACGAAUGCAGGUGCAGAGAUUUUACUACAGUUGCACAUUAAUAUUGCAUUUAGUUCUUUCUCAGUUUACUACUUGUUU